CCCUGAGUAGCACAACUGGCAGAUGCAACUGCUUUAAACGCAGUGGGUUGACGGUUCGAAUCCGUCUUCAGGGA
rnacentral:tRNA from 1 species